rnacentral:hammerhead_ribozyme from 1 species
AUUCGGCUGACGAGUACCAAAUAGGACGAAACGCGCGUCUUGGAU